UUCAGUGUGAGUGUGAGCGGCUGUGUGUGAGAGUGAUCUGGGUGAAUGUGCGUGUGAAAGCUGUGUGAAAGCUGUGUGAAAGCAUGUGUGUAAGCAUGUGUGUGAGUGUUUAAAAUCUACACCGUGAUCUUAUUUGAUCUGGGCAGAGUUGAGCCCUGCUCUGACUCGGAGGUGAUAGGAAGCCGGUCGCUAGCCCGCUGUGGCGUUGAGCGCUCUCCGGCCCAAAGCUUCAGGGCGCCCGCAGUAGAGCCUGUGGGUAGAGAUGAUGAAUUGAUCAGAUAUACUAGUGCUGCCGGGAUCUGGGGUUUAUCUCCAGUCUUCCCUGAGCGCACAGUGAGUAUAGAGGCGAUUCUGAUCUUC
ensembl:scaRNA